rnacentral:rRNA from 1 species
UACGAAGGGGGCUAGCGUUGCUCGGAAUCACUGGGCGUAAAGGGUGCGUAGGCGGGUCUUUAAGUCAGGGGUGAAAUCCUGGAGCUCAACUCCAGAACUGCCUUCGAUACUGGGAGUCUCGAGUCCGGGAGAGGUGAGUGGAACUGCGAGUGUAGAGGUGAAAUGCGUUGAUAUCGAUAGGAACUCCGGUGGCGAAGGCGGCAUACUGGACCACCACUGACGCUGAUGCGCGAAAGCCAGGGGAGCAAACGGG